rnacentral:rRNA from 1 species
CUCCCGGAUGUUAGCGGCGGACGGGUGUAGUAACACGUGGGUAACCUGCCUGUAAGACUGGGAUAACUCCGGGAAACCGGAGCUAAUACCGGAUAGUUCCUUGAACCGCAUGGUUCAAGGAUGAAAGACGGUUUCGGCUGUCACUUACAGAUGGACCCGCGGCGCAUUAGCUAGUUGGUGGGGUAAUGGCUCACCAAGGCGACGAUGCGUAGCCGACCUGAGAGGGUGAUCGGCCACACUGGGACUGAGACACGGCCCAGACUCCUACGGGAGGCAGCAGUAGGGAAUCUUCCGCAAUGGACGAAAGUCUGACGGAGCAACGCCGCGUGAGUGAUGAAGGUUUUCGGAUCGUAAAGCUCUGUUGUUAGGGAAGAACAAGUGCGAGAGUAACUGCUCGCACCUUGACGGUACCUAACCAGAAAGCCACGGCUAACUACGUGCCAGCAGCCGCGGUAAUACGUAGGUGGCAAGCGUUGUCCGGAAUUAUUGGGCGUAAAGGGCUCGCAGGCGGUUUCUUAAGUCUGAUGUGAAAGCCCCCGGCUCAACCGGGGAGGGUCAUUGGAAACUGGGAAACUUGAGUGCAGAAGAGGAGAGUGGAAUUCCACGUGUAAGCGGUGAAAAUGCGUAGAGAUGUGGAGGAACACCAGUGGCGAAGGCGACUCUCUGGUCUGUAACUUGACGCUGAGGAGCGAAAGCGUGGGGAGCGAACAGGAUUAGAUACCCUGGUAGUCCACGCCCGUAAACGAUGAGUGCUAAGUUGUUAGGGGGUUUCCGCCCCUUAGUGCUGCAACUAACGCAUUAAACACUCCGCCUGGGGGAGUACGGUCGCAAGACUGGAAACUCAAAGGAAUUGACGGGGGCCCGCACAAGCGGUGGAGCAUGUGGUUUAAUUCAAAGCAACGCGAAAAACCUUACCAGGUCUUGACAUCCUCUGACACCCUAGAGAUAGGGCUUUCCCUUCGGGGACAGAGUGACAGGUGGUGCAUGGUUGUCGUCAGCUCGUGUCGUGAGAUGUUGGGUUAAUUCCCGCACGAGCGCAUCCUUGAUCUUAUUGCCAGCAUUCAGUUGGGCACUCUAAGGUGACUGCCUGUGACAAACCGGAUAAUGUGGGGAUGACGUCCAUCAUUC